rnacentral:lncRNA from 1 species
AUGGAGGGAUGGGAACUCCCCAGGGAGCACAGCCACAAGGAGGCCCGGCGGCGCAAGAGGACGAGGAGAGCGGGCCUCCGAGGCAGCGGACCCGGCUCCGCUACGACAGUCUGCGCGGAGCCCACUUGCCUCCCGCCGCCCGAGACGCCCUCCCCCCUCUGCCCCCCAGCCUUUCGUACGACUCGUCGCGGAAAAUGGUCGCACUACCUUGUCGCUCCAUCUAACCUCAGAGGGAGCCACGUCAGAACCAGCGUCCCUGAAAGGCGCCAUGUUGCCCAUUGGCUAUCUUGCCAUCCCCCUAGCCACCCCCACCUCCCUUCUGCGCGUGCGCAGCACUUGGGCUCCCAGGGCAACGGGGAGCGGAAGUGUUCUGCUCACCCAGAGGGGAGUGCGAAUUGGUGCUGGCUGUUUUACGCCCUCAGACCUCGGGUUCCUGGGUCAGGGUUCAUAACGGCCAACAGCUCACAGCUUCAGACGCCGGCUGAUCUACCAUGGGCUUCCUUAGUUAGUCUACAGAAGACCCAGCCUGAGACCUCAGAAGGAGAUCUCCAUCCUUGGUCUGGGCAGAACCAGAUGGCCAUGUCCCAGGUGAGUUCCUAAUUUACCCCUACUUUGUUUCCAGUUAAUUUAAGGUAGCAAUUAGGAAAUUAUAUUGCAACCUUGAAAAAAUAUAUGUUAGUUCCCUCAGCUUUGGCUGUUUUCUGCUCAACCUGUCAUCCACCUCAGGUUUCUCCAAUCCUUCCUCUUUUCACCAAAAAGGCAACAACAACAACAACAAAAGAACGAUAUAGAAAGGAAAAGACAUUUUUGUCUACUUCUUACUCUUGGAACUGCGCUUCAUAUUUUUGCCUUCUCAAAGAAAAUUGUUUAAAUGCAUAAACUUAUGUUGCUUUUUCUAUUCACUUUCACUUUCAGUGCACUUUUUGCCUUUUCAUUAUGUUUAAAAUUGUGAAAGUAAAUCCACAUCUCAUGUUCUAAUAUGCAUAAAAUAAACAGUAUCCAAAAGAUCCCUAUUUCUUCUUCUCCCAGUACCACAUUCUUCCUCAGAAAUGCCCACUGUUAGCAGUUUGGUGAUAAGGUGCUGUAAAUGCAUUUACUUCAGUUUAAUUAACUAAAAAUAGAGGUACAUGUUGGAGAAGGAAAUGGUAACCCACUCUAGUACUUGUGCCUGGAAAAUCCCAUGGAUGGAGGAGCCUGGUAGGCUACAGUCUGUGGGGUCUUAAAGAGUCCAACAGGACUGGGUGACUUCACUAUCACUUUUCACUUUCAUGCAUUGGAGAAGGAAAUGGCAACCCACUCCAGUGUUCUUGCCUUGAGAAUCCCAGGGACGGGGGAGCCUGGUGGGCUGCCGUCUAUGAGGUCGCACAGAGUUGGACAUGACUGAAGCGACUUAGCAGCAGCAGCAGAGGUACAUGUAAUGUGUGUUUUUUCUCAAAUGCCAUCACACCCCCAUACCCAUCUUGCUUUUCCCACUUGAUUAUAUUAUGAGUGGUGGUCCCCAUCAGUACAUAGAAACUGUUUCAGUUCCUCUUUCGUGGUAUGGAUGUCUCAUUUAACUAUUUCUCUUUUCAUGAAUAUUUGGGUUUUUUGUUUUAUUUUUCUAUCGUAAAUAGUGCCUCAUGAACUGCUUUCUAUGUAUCUGUUGGCCCAUUAGUACAGGUAUUUACGGAGAGUACACCUGGAAGAAUUUUUGAACCAAAGGUAUUCACACUUUAAAUUUGCUUUCCCAAAUCCUGGACUGAUUGGUACUUUCACAAAAUUUUAAAUACCAGAUAAUUUCUGUGUUCAACUCUUCCAGGCUGUUGUUGAAA